UUACGACAAUAUCAUGUUGAAACGCCGAUUCUCGUAUGAUCACCAAAGUUAAGCAACGUCGAGACUGGUCAGUACUGAGAUGGGAAACCACUAGCGAUCACUAGGU